ACCGCUGCAUAUACUACAGACCAUAGAAGAGCGUGUGUUCGUGUGUGUGUUUGUGUGCGUGUUUGUGUGUGCGUGUUUCAGUCAGAGAAAAGCGCUCAAAGCGGCGCACAAACUCACCUGGACGCACGCACGCGUGUGCGUAAAUGUGUUUGUGUCCUUAAAGCGCGUGCGCAUAAAGGCAAUGUUGAAGAGACAGGGAGAGAAAGAGAGAGAGAAGAUGCACGUGUUUAACAGUGAAGGAGCGCGGCUGCAGCGAACAGGACAGACAGGUCGAACAAGCAACAGCAAUGUAGGCACAGGCUAUAACCUGGGUGGUUUCACAUAUGCUUUACAUGCACCGUGUGGUCUGCGGUGCACUCAGGAAUUGGGGGAGGUCUGCAGAAGUGAAUGUGGAGCCACAGGCCGCACUCAGGACAAACUGACUGAAUGACUUGUUUCCGUCUGUGAAAGAAAACCUUGAUGUACAGAGACGAUGAAGAGACGUCUGCACGGGCAUUUGGACAUUAAAAUACAUUUUGAUAACAUUUAGCGAGAGGUUUCAAGUAAGUGAAUAAAACACUGAAACCCAAAGAUUUUAUGAAUCUGUUGGGAAAAAAGCCUGUCUGCAGUUUUCUGUUUGGUAUAAGUUAUAACUUGGUUUUGAAACGCAGGCAGUAAAAAAGGUAAUAAGACACAUCUCACUGUGUAAUUAUAAUUUGUUCUGGUAAUAAAAAGUACGCAACAAGCGCCAUGGUUCAUUACUGAACACUAGAGUAUUACAAACCUGCUAUAAGAACAUGUGAAAUCCAACCAACUCUGAUCUUAUUAUGGGAAGAAAAGAACAUGUGACCAUGUGAUUAUUAGUCAAACAUGACGCAAUAUUCUGAAGUUGAUUUUCUGAAGUUUCGAAUAGAAAAUUCAGAAAUCUUGGCAGAGGGAGACAUAGACAUAGACACAAAAAAACACCAACAACACAAGUCUCCCAGUGUGAGUGAAACAACCUCACAGGAUUAUGGCUUUGGUAUUUAAUAGUUUUUGCAAAGUUCUAUGAAGAUCUAUCAGGUGAUAGUCAAACAAUGAGGAAGGUUUUACAAUUCAGCUACUGAAAUGUGGUUGUGAGGUUUUAGUGUCGUUAAUUUUGACAAUUUGCUAAAUAGAAAGCCAAUGAGUUAUUGUAUAUGUGGACAAGAAUAAUUUUGGAACCUCUUUGUGGGACAUGAACUCUUUAUUAAAUCGAUUUAAUUGCUUUAUAUUUUAUUUCGAGACUGGUAUGGAGGAACCUUCAUCAUCUCAGAGGUGGGCGACACAGAGCUCUUCACAUCUCAUGUUUCAUUAGAUAUCAAUACAAUUUUCCUGAUGAACUAAAAGAGGAGUGAGGAGCUAUGGUAUGAGACACAGAUCGUCUCAUUUAUUCUCACUCUGAUCUGUGAACUGAGUCACGAAUGGAGGUGGUUUUAGUUGUUUGCAGGUGCAUUUAUGAAAAACAUCAGCAUUGAAUUCAAAGGACAUUAAAAGCCUGAAAAAAAAAGAAGACUUCAAAUGAAUGGGGUGAUCACAGAACAAAGGAGGUGUCAGACAUGUUAAUUUACGCAAAUAUAUGAGUACUGGUCCUUUUAGUGGGGAAACAUGAAUAAAAAUGAUCAUAUUCAUGUUAGUAAAAACACUGAAGUCAGUAAAUAUCGUAGUGUACUCAAGGUGUCAUUUAGCCCUUUCUCAUGCUGGUUAAGUUGAGGAGAAACACUUAAGUACUUACUUUAUUAUACUUAUUAUUUACAAUUAAUAUUUACAAUUUAAUUGUUGAUAUAUUCACUGUCUUUCUCUCUAAAUUAUUUCUAAACAGAACAUUAUGUUGAAAUGGUGAACGAGAGAGAAAUCUAAAAAAUCCGUUAGUUUAAAUAAAUUAAUUCAGUUCAGUCCACUCCCCGCAAGACGGCGCUAAAGGGCUAAACAUGUCACUGAUGAAGCCGGCAUGGCUGCACAGAGCGACAUGUCAUGUUAUUAUGUCACUUGAUGCACGAGGCAUUUCAUAUGAGCCCGGCUGUAGUAUCUGAUUUACAUUAUAAGUUUGAUGUAUCGUGUUGUUUGUUGUUCACCUGGAUAGUGACUCCUCUUCAUAAUGUUGAUGUUGAACCUGAACUUAACUAUCUCUCUCUCUCUCUCUCUAUGUGUGUGUGUGUGUGUAUGUAAAGUAUAUAGUAGAACAAAAAAAUAUUAAAUUAUAUAUAUAAAUAGAAUGGAAUGUGGCAGUAAACCUCAUAGCACAUGAAUUUGCAGAAUAUGAUGCUACUAAACUAUUUUGAAAACAUUUGUUUAGUACCAGUAGUUCUUUAAAUGACAACAUUUUUACCGGACAUUGACUAUUUCUAGUGGUAGAUCACAACUCUGGGUAUUGUAGUUUAAAAUGGUAUGAGCCAAAAAGCUUAGAAUCUGAAAGGAGGGUAAAACACUUGUAUUUGCACAAUCUUUCAAGUUUCAUGCUUUAUUCUCAACCAUUUUUCUCAGGGUUAUCCUGUUCUUUCUUUCUUUCUUUAUAAACCAAUUGAUCUAG